rnacentral:rRNA from 1 species
UACGAAGGGGGCUAGCGUUGCUCGGAAUCACUGGGCGUAAAGCGCACGUAGGCGGAUCUUUAAGUCAGGGGUGAAAUCCUGGAGCUCAACUCCAGAACUGCCUUUGAUACUGAGGAUCUUGAGUCCGGGAGAGGUGAGUGGAACUCCGAGUGUAGAGGUGAAAUUCGUAGAUAUCGGGAGGAACACCGGUGGCGAAGGCGGCGAUCUGGGUAGAUACUGACGCUGAGGUGCGAAAGCGUGGGGAGCAAACAGG